rnacentral:rRNA from 1 species
GUCAGCUCGUGUCGUGAGAUGUGGUUAAGUCCGCAACGAGCGCAACCCUUGUCUUUAGUUGCCAUCAUUAAGUUGGGCACUCUAAAGAGACUGCCGGUGUCAAACCGGAGGAAGGUGGGGAUGACGUCAAGUCCUCAUGGCCUUUAUGACCAGGGCUACACACGUACUACAAUGGCAGGUACAAAGGGCAGCCACUUAGCGAUAAGGCGCGAAUCCCGUAAAACCUGUCUCAGUCCGGAUUGGAGUCUGCAACUCGACUCCAUGAAGUUGGAAUCGCUAGUAAUCGCAGAUCAGCACGCUGCGGUGAAUACGUUCCCGGGCCUU